rnacentral:rRNA from 1 species
UACGUAGGGCGCAAGCGUUGUCCGGAAUCAUUGGGCGUAAAGAGCUCGUAGGUGGUCUGUUACGUCUGCUGUGAAAACCUAGGGCUUAACCCUGGGCCUGCAGUGGAUACGGGCAGACUAGAGGUAGGUAGGGGAGAAUGGAAUUCCCGGUGUAGCGGUGAAAUGCGCAGAUAUCGGGAGGAACACCGGUGGCGAAGGCGGGUCUCUGGGCAGUAACUGACGCUGAGGAGCGAAAGCGUGGGGAGCGAACAGG